rnacentral:rRNA from 1 species
UUAUGUGCGGGCAAGUAUUGAGGCAGUUCCGAUAGGCAAAUCCGUCGGAACAAUGCUGGGGUACGAUGCGGAGCGAAAUUUAGUAGCGAAGUAGCUGAUUUCACACUGUCGAGAAAAGUCUCUAUCGAGGUUAAAGGUGCCUGUACCGCAAACCGACACAGGUGGGUGAGGAGAGUAUCCUAAGGCCGGCGAGAGAACUGUUGUUAAGGAACUCGGCAAAAUGACCCCGUAACUUAGGGAGAAGGGGUGCCUUCGAAAGAAGGCCGCAGAGAAUAGGCCCAAGCGACUGUUUACCAACAACAUAGGUUUCUGCUAAGUCGCAAGACGAUGCAUAGGAGCUGACGCCUGCCCGGUGCUGGAAGGUUAAGGGGAUCUGUUAGAGCAAUCGAAGCAGUGAACUUAAGCCCCAGUAAACGGCGGCCGUAACUAUAACGGUCCUAAGGUAGCGAAAUUCCUUGUCGGGUAAGUUCCGACCCGCACGAAAGGCGUAACGAUUUGGGCACUGUCUCAACAACAGACUCGGUGAAAUUGUAAUACCGGUGAAGAUGCCGGUUACCUGCGACAGGACGGAAAGACCCCAUGGAGCUUUACUGUAGCUUGACAUUGAGUCUCGGUGCUACAUGUACAGGAUAGGUGGGAGACUAUGAAGCAUGGACGUCAGUCUGUGUGGAGUCAUCCUUGGGAUACCACCCUUGUAGUACUGGGAUUCUAACCAGAGGCCGUGAAUCUGGUCUUGGGACACUGUCAGGUGGACAGUUUGACUGGGGCGGUCGCCUCCCAAAAAGUAACGGAGGCGCUCAAAGGUUCUCUCAGUACGGUCGGAAAUCGUACGAAGAGUGUAAAGGCAAAAGAGAGCUUGAUUGCAAGACAUACAGGUCGAGCAAGGACGAAAGUCGGACUUAGUGAUCCGGUGGUUCCGCAUGGAAGGGCCAUCGCUCAACGGAUAAAAGCUACCCUGGGGAUAACAGGCUGAUCUCCCCCAAGAGUCCACAUCGACGGGGAGGUUUGGCACCUCGAUGUCGGCUCAUCACAUCCUGGGGCUGUAGUAGGUCCCAAGGGUUGGGCUGUUCGCCCAUUAAAGUGGUACGCGAGCUGGGUUCAGAACGUCGUGAGACAGUUCGGUCCCUAUCCGUCGCAGGCGUAGGAAAUUUGAGGAGACCUGUCCUUAGUACGAGAGGACCGGGAUGGACGUACCGCUGGUGUACCAGUUGUUCUGCCAAGGGCAUGGCUGGGUAGCUAAGUACGGAAAGGAUAAGCGCUGAAAGCAUCUAAGCGCGAAGCCCACUUCAAGAUAAGAUUUCCCACCGCAAGGUUAAGAUCCCAGGAAGACUACCUGGUUGAUAGGUCAGAGGUGUAAGUGCAGUAAUGUAUUUAGCUUACUGAUACUAAUAGAUCGAGGACUUGACCU